AGCGCAUCUGCCAAAACAAUCUUGCGUGUUUUGCGAAUAUAAAAUUCAUCAAAAAUUAUGGAGCUUCCUCAAGCAAAAAGAAAGGUUUCUGCCGUGUGGGACCACUUUGAUGUCAUUUCGGAAAAUAAGGUUAAAUGUCGCAAUUGCUCAACAGAGCUUGCAUAUUAAAAUAACAGCACCUCCUCAAUGCUGAGGCAUUAUAGGGCCAAGCAUGAGAGUGAAAUCCAUGAUACACCCAUGAUGAACUCAGCUUCCAGGAAGCAGAUGCUUGAUGAGGCUGUGCUUAAUUUCAUUGUAAAGGACUGCCAGCCCCUCGCUGUUGUGGAGAAUGAAGGCUUCAGGGAGCUGGUUCAGCUCCUUGAGCCCUCAUAUGUUUUGCCAACCAGAAAGACCAUCAAACAACUGUUGGCCAAAAAGUAUGUGGAGGAACGGGAACGAGCGAAAAUGGAAGUACAGCAGGCUGCGGACAGAAUGUGCCUCAAUAGUUGGAAGCUCAAAUGAGCCCCAGCCGGGAACAUCUUCACAACAGCUGUCUGCCCCCAA